AGUACGGCGGAACACGAGAAAUUCCGUCGGAAUCCGCGGGGACCAUCCCGCAAGGCUAAAUACUCCCUAGUGACCGAUAGUGAACCAGUACCGUGAGGGAAAGGUGAAAAGCACCCCGGAAGGGGAGUGAAAUAGAUCCUGAAACCGUGUGCCUACAACAAGUCAAAGCUCGUUAAUGAGUGAUGGCGUGCCUUUUGUAGAAUGAACCGGCGAGUUACGAUUGCAUGCGAGGUUAAGUCGAAGAGACGGAGCCGCAGCGAAAGCGAGUCUGAAUAGGGCGAAUGAGUAUGUAGUCGUAGACCCGAAACCAUGUGAUCUACCCAUGUCCAGGUUGAAGGUGCGGUAAAACGCACUGGAGGACCGAACCCACGUACGUUGAAAAGUGCGGGGAUGAGGUGUGGGUAGCGGAGAAAUUCCAAACGAACUUGGAGAUAGCUGGUUCUCUCCGAAAUAGCUUUAGGGCUAGCCUCGGAAUUGAGAAUGAUGGAGGUAGAGCACUGUUUGGACUAGGGGCCCAUCUCGGGUUACCGAAUUCAGAUAAACUCCGAAUGCCAUUCAUUUAUAUCCGGGAGUCAGACUGCGAGUGAUAAGAUCCGUAGUCGAAAGGGAAACAGCCCAGACCACCAGCUAAGGUCCCAAAAUAUAUGUUAAGUGGAAAAGGAUGUGGGGUUGCACAGACAACUAGGAUGUUGGCUUAGAAGCAGCCACCAUUUAAAGAGUGCGUAAUAGCUCACUAGUCGAGUGACCCUGCGCCGAAAAUGUACCGGGGCUAAACAUAUUACCGAAGCUGUGGACUACACCAUUAGGUGUAGUGGUAGGAGAGCGUUCUAAGGGCGUUGAAGGUCGAUCGUGAGGACGGCUGGAGCGCUUAGAAGUGAGAAUGCCGGUAUGAGUAGCGAAAGACAGGUGAGAAUCCUGUCCACCGUAUGACUAAGGUUUCCUGGGGAAGGCUCGUCCGCCCAGGGUUAGUCGGGACCUAAGCCGAGGCCGAUAGGCGUAGGCGAUGGACAACAGGUUGAUAUUCCUGUACCAGUUGUUUUUGUUUGAGCAAUGGAGGGACGCAGUAGGCUAAGGAAUGCAUGCGAUUGGAAGUGCAUGUCCAAGCAAUGAGUCUUGAGUAGAGUUAAAUGCUUUACUCUCUAAGGACAAGUUGUGACGGGGAGCGAAAUAAUAGUAGCGAAGUUCCUGAUGUCACACUGCCAAGAAAAGCUUCUAGUGAGAAAACAACUGCCCGUACCGUAAACCGACACAGGUAGUCGAGGAGAGUAUCCUAAGGUGAGCGAGCGAACUCUCGUUAAGGAACUCGGCAAAAUGACCCCGUAAC
rnacentral:rRNA from 1 species